GGCAAGGUGGCCGAGUGGUCUAAGGCGUAAUGUUUAAGAAAAUUGAAUUCUAUUCCUAUUCAUAUGGGAACCAUUAUAUCGAGAGAUGCCAGGGUUCGAACCCCUGUCUUGCCA